GCGGUAGUAGCUCAAUCGGAUAGAGCGCCGGCCUCCUAAGCCGUAGGUUGAGAGUUCGAUUCUCUCCUGCCGCA
rnacentral:tRNA from 7 species